rnacentral:rRNA from 1 species
CGCCCUUAGAGUUUGAUCAUGGCUCAGAUUGAACGCUGGCGGCAGGCUUAACACAUGCAAGUCGAGCGGUAGGGGAGCUUGCUCCCUACGAGCGGCGGACGGGUGAGUAAUGUCUGGGAAACUGCCUGAUGGAGGGGGAUAACUACUGGAAACGGUAGCUAAUACCGCAUAACGUCGCAAGACCAAAGAGGUUCGUCUUGCCAUCAGAUGUGCCCAGAUGGGAUUAGCUAGUAGGUGGGGUAAUGGCUCACCUAGGCGACGAUCCCUAGCUGGUCUGAGAGGAUGACCAGCCACACUGGAACUGAGACACGGUCCAGACUCCUACGGGA